rnacentral:rRNA from 1 species
UACGGAAGGGGCAAGCGUUGUUCGGAAUCAUUGGGCGUAAAGGGCGCGUAGGUGGCUCUGUGUGUCUACCGUGAAAGCGUACGGCUCAACCGUAUUUUGUCGGUAGAAACUGCAGGACUUGAGGCUGGGAGGGCUGGUGGAAUUCCCUGUGUAGCGGUGAAAUGCGUAGAGAUGGGGGAGAACACUCGUGGCGAAGGCGGCCAGCUAGACCAGUUCUGACACUGAGGCGCGACAGCGUGGGGAGCAAACAGG